GGCUGGGUAGCUCAGUUGGUAGAGCAGCAGACUGAAAAUCUGCGUGUCGGCGGUUCGAUUCCGCCCCCCGCCACCA
rnacentral:tRNA from 1 species